rnacentral:rRNA from 1 species
CGUGAAAUUGUUGAAAGGGAAACGCUUGAAGUCAGUCGCGUUGGUUGAGAAUCAGCCUUGCUUUUGCUUGGUGUACUUCUUGAUCGAUGGGUCAGCAUCAGUUUUGAUCGUUGGAUAAAGUUCGAGGGAAUGUGGCAUCUUCGGAUGUGUUAUAGCCUUCGUUCGUAUACAAGCGGUUGGGACUGAGGAACUCAGCACGCCGAAAGGCCGGGUUCUUAACCACGUACGUGCUUAGGAUGCUGGCAUAAUGGCUUUAAUCGACCCGUCUUGAAACACGG